rnacentral:lncRNA from 1 species
AUACCUGAUCUCCAGAGGUACAUAAGGGAGAAAGGAUACCACAUUAUAUACUAGAAAUGUGUAGAAGGUAUUAACUUCUUUAGAAUGAUGCCUGUCCCAUACACUACUACAAUCUUAGGGACAAGAAAACCUGUUUAAUCCAGUGAUUUGCUGGAUGACCCAUGAAUUCCCUGUCCCAUACACUACUACAAUCUUAGGGACAAGAAAACCUGUUUAAUCCAGUGAUUUGCUGGAUGACCCAUGAAUUCUUGCACAUUUUGUAAGACACUUAUUGGCAAGAAAGCAGCUUCAGUGAACCUGCAUUUUUGAAGACAAAACAAUAAUCUCAUCUAUGACUGUCUGAUGACCCCCAUGAGCUGAUAGAAAUGUCUUGGACUCACUAGAUGACAUUUAUUGAGUCCAGGUCAACCAAAUAUUCGCUAGCAAGAAGUGUUAUCCUAGUUCAUGCCCUCAAUAAAGCAUGAAGUUCUACCAGAAGGUUAUUCCUCUUUCUAUAAAAUCCACAAAAACGCAACCACCAUUUGGUCUUUAUGAUUCAAAGGAGAAGACCAACCAACAUCUUGUGGAUUCCCUUUACAGCAUCCUACGUUCUUAACUUAGUAUAAUGCCCUGAUUGCGUCUACAUUUCAAAAGUCACAAAUUUUGUUUUUGAGAGCAUGAACAGGGUGACGAGUAUUUGGCAGUCCUGGAAACUUAGGUAUAGAAGCAUGCCUAGCAUGAGUGAGCUGAUUUAGCCAUUUAGGUUUCUGGAUUGUGGCUGACAUGAAUUUUCUGAUAGAAUACAUUCUACCUCACUGUAUAGCUGCCCUUAUAGAGCACCAUGGCAUCUUCUCCAUAACUUUAGUUCCUUAACUGCAUUGUGUAAUCCUGGGUUGUUGUAUUGCCAUGUAUCAUCUGCAGUGCGGUGCCAAUGAAUCUAUUAAUUAAGAUGUCCCCAUUGUCUUACUUACAUCGAGAGUCCAUGAC